rnacentral:rRNA from 1 species
AACGAACGCUGGCGGCAUGCCUAACACAUGCAAGUCGAACGAGACCUUCGGGUCUAGUGGCGCACGGGUGCGUAACGCGUGGGAACCUGCCCUUAGGUUCGGAAUAACUCCCCGAAAGGGGUGCUAAUACCGGAUAAUGUCUUCGGACCAAAGAUUUAUCGCCUUUGGAUGGGCCCGCGUUGGAUUAGCUAGUUGGUAGGGUAAAAGCCUACCAAGGCGACGAUCCAUAGCUGGUCUGAGAGGAGGAUCAGCCACACUGGGACUGAGACACGGCCAGACUCCUACGGGAGGCAGCAGUGGGGAAUAUUGGACAAUGGGCGAAAGCCUGAUCCAGCAAUGCCGCGUGAGUGAUGAAGGCCUUAGGGUUGUAAAGCUCUUUUACCCGGGAUGAUAAUGACAGUACCGGGAGAAUAAGCUCCGGCUAACUCCGUG